rnacentral:rRNA from 1 species
AACGAACGCUGGCGGCAGGCCUAACACAUGCAAGUCGAACGGGAAGCCACCUUCGGGUGGUGGACAGUGGCAGACGGGUGAGUAACGCGUGGGAACGUGCCUUUCGGUUCGGAAUAACCCAGGGAAACUUGGGCUAAUACCGGAUACGCCCUUCGGGGGAAAGAUUCAUUGCCGAAAGAUCGGCCCGCGUCGGAUUAGCUAGUUGGUGGGGUAAUGGCUCACCAAGGCGACGAUCCGUAGCUGGUCUGAGAGGAUGACCAGCCAGACUGGGACUGAGACACGGCCCAGACUCCUGCGGGAGGCAGCAGUGGGGAAUAGUGGACAAGGGGCGAAAGCCUGAUCCAGCCAUGCCGCGUGGGUGAAGAAGGCCUUAGGGUUGUAAACCCCUUUCAGCGGGGAAGAUAAUGACGGUACCCGCAGAAGAAGUCCCGGCUAACUCCGUGCCAGCCGCCGCCGUAAUAC